rnacentral:rRNA from 1 species
UAAUGUAUAUAAAGAGACUAUUAAGGAGGCCUAGCUAUAUAUUAAAGAGAUUAAUUUGUGUUUUUAAUUUUACACAUGCACUCUUAGAGAAAUUCAAUAAUAAACGAAGUGAAUUGAAAUAUCUUAGUAACUUUAGGAAAAGAAAUCAAACGAGAUUCUAUGAUUAGUGUGAAUGAAAAUAGAAAAGCCAAGAAAAAAAUAAGUAAAACGGGCAUAACCAGUUUGAAAACGUAAAAAGAGUGUGCUCUAGCGACAGAGACAAGGUCUAAGCACUCGUAAUUUUACAAAGGGGAACCUUCCUCUAAGGCUAAAUAUAAUAUAUAAGCGAUAGCGUAUAGUACUGUGAAGGAAAGGUUUGAAUUAGUAGUCUUAUAAGCAGCUUUAGCUUUAUUUAAUUAAAAAGUGAUAGCGUACCUUUUGCAUAAUGGGUCAGUAAGUUAAUAUUAGAUGCGAGCAUUCGUGCCCAGAUAAACCAAUUAUGAAUUAAUGAUUUAGUAUCUAAAAUUAGACCCGAAGCCUAGUGAUCUUACCACAGUCAGGAUCACAAAAGUCUGAACGGGUUGUCGUUGCAAAGACAUCCGAUGAACUAUGGUAAGUAAGUGAAAGACAACACUGACUAGGAAAUAGCUGGUUUUCUGCGAAACCUAUAAAAGUAGGUAAUUUAAGUAACAUCAUAGCAGGUACAGAACUGUGUUCUCAGGCAACUUAGAAAUAUUUUGCAUAUAUCGGGCAAUCGUGAAGAUUUUAUCGGUGAGUAAUCGCACUCGGAAUGGUUAUGAUGAAUAUUAAAUAAUCGGACAUAGUACGCUAAGGUUGUAUUGUCUAAAGGGAAACAGCCCAGAACAAGAGUUUAAGGUUCCAAAUUUAUUGUUAAGUGAAAUUAAGGAUGUUUCUGUAAAAAACGGCCAGGAAAUUGGCUUAGAAGCGGCCAUUUUUUGAAGAUCUCGUAAAAGAGCACUGGUUUAGUAUAUUUUAUACGUGAAUAGUAGCACCGAAGAUUUAACGGAUCUAAACAAUAUACCGACACCUUGUCCAUAAAAAGGAUGAGCUUGUAGACAGCUCGUAUUUUUAUGGGGUAGCAGAACGUUGGGUAAAUAACACGGUUUAUUGUUUUUAACAAUAAAUAUAAGAUAACCCAAGUGAUAAUGCUGACAUGAGUAACGAAAAAGGGGUUAUACCCUCGCCUAAAGCUUAUGGUAUUUUAAAAUAAGUAACGGCCUCUAAGUUUACCAACCUAAAGGAUUAAACGAUGAGAAAAUCUUUUAGUUACUUAGUAACAACCUUCCUUCUUAUGUAACCAAGUCACCUUGCGAGGGGUUUGCUUGGAAAUAUUAUUGCCAAGUACCGGCGGAAGGCGGGCAUAAGAAAAGUUGAGGGAGGUUCUGGAAAAACAGUGACAAACCAGCUUCCGGCAAGUACGGAAGAAAGGGGGAAAACAAAACCGUACCUAAAUACCACCUCAGGUAAGCUAGUAGAGAAUACGAAGGCGUUUGAGUGAACAAUCAUUAAGGAACUCGGCAAACUAACUACCGUAACUUCGGAAUAAGGAGUGCCAUUCCUCUUCAUUAAUAUGAGGUAAAGAAUAGGAAGCAUGGAAUAGUGUUGUACGACUGUUUAAUUAAAACAAAGCACUUCGCAAUAAGAUAAUAAAUCAAAGUAUUGAGUGUGAAUUCUGCCCGAUGUCGGCCGGUUAACGGAUUUACUAAGUUGACUAAUAUAAGCUUGGUUUUGAAGGAAACCCCGAUCAAUGGCGGUCUUACCUAUGAGGAUCCUAAGGUAGCGGAAUACCUUGGCCGUUAAAUGCGGUCUUGCAUGAAUGAUUUAACGAUACAACAGCUGUCUCAAUGAUUGGCUCAGUGAAAUUGGAAUGACAGUGCAGAUACUGUUUAUCUCUAGAUAGACGAGAAGACCCUAUGCAGCUUUACUGUUACUAGUUAUUAGAUAUGAUAAACAGCAUUUUUAGUGCAUAAGGUAGGUGCGCGGAGGUUUCAUUGGAUUCUUCUGUCACCCAAAUUGAAACACCUUUAUUUAGUUUUUCAUAUUGGUAAAUAUAUUUUACGUGAAAAAUCCAAUAUGGGUCUUUCAUUUCCAGAGGAACGAUGACUAGGAGGCAGUUUAUGCGGGGCACAGAUCCCAUAAAAAGUACCUGGGUGUAUCCAAAGUUAAUUUUGUAAAUUUGUUAUAAUUUAUAACAACCAAAACUAGUUUUGGUUUUUAGUUUGUUAUUAGAGAUAAAAGCCUUGGGCUUCUAUUUCCAAUCCACCUAUAUAUCUAUUGAGUUAGAACUAAAAAUUUUAAUCAAGUAAGAUUUUAUCUAUAUUGAAAAUAGAUGUAAACUAUGUUAUUAAGAUCUUUAAUAUCAUUGUUAUAUUAAAAGCCAACUGGGUAACCUGGAUGGCUUACUUGCCACAAACCGAGCUUGCCAUCGUCCGGCCGAACCCUCGAAGGAGGGAUGAGGUGGAGGAGGGAUAAGGAACCAAGGGACUUGGUGCAUUCCCCUACCGUUUCGGGGCGGUGGUGCAAGGGUUGUAGGGGAAGAGGCGAAGCGCUGGCAGGGAGGCGAAGCCAGCUGGGUACACGGAAGAUAAUAAUAUAAUAUUUACUUGUCAAG